UACGUAGGUGCGAGCGUUGUCCGGAAUUAUUGGCGUAAAGAGCUCGUAGGCGGUCUGUCGCGUCGAUCGUGAAAACUUGGGGCUUAACCCUGAGCUUGCGGUCGAUACGGCAUGACUGGAGUUCGGCAGGGGAGACUGGAAUUCCUGGUGUAGCGGUGAAAAUGCGCAGAUAUCAGGAGGAACACCGGUGGCGAAGGCGGCAUCCUGGACCGGCAUUGACGCUGAGGGCGCGAAAAGCCAGGGGGAGCAAA
rnacentral:rRNA from 1 species